GAAAUGAUGACAAGCAUCUCUCACCGGAGCCUGUUUUCGGCAGCUCAGGUUUUCCACAGCCUGGUUAGGCCGUGUGUGACCAAACCGGCCUCCCCCUACUCCUCUCUUCAUCGCCAGUCCCUUGCCCAGGCCUACAACUGCUUGCUGAGAGAGGAGCCCCAGAGGAAUGCUUCCUACCCAGACAUCAGCCAGACCUUAGCUGUGUGACCUUACGGCUUGUAGACAGCAGUUUUGCUAGCACAUCCAAAACAAACCUGUCCUUUGUCCAGAUGCAGAAACUGCACGGAGGCUGUUUCAUUUAGAAGCCCUUCUUUGGACAGCUUAUUCCUCUGGCGGCCCAGGAAGGCUGUCGGCCUCUCUUGUGAACUAUUUGCCACCUCUGCCCUUUGUAAUACCGAGACUUUGUGCUGCCUCGCUCUCUCCCUGGGACCAACAGCCUGAAAGCAACAGCGCACACCCAAUCCAAGCUAUGCGUGACUCCCCCAGCUCUGCCUUCAUUAUAAAUAAGCCAGUUGGGCCUGGCCAGCCCUUCACGGACGUCCAUGAAUUUUUCCAUUCCCAGUGAAGCAGGGACGCUUUAGGUUUCCUCUUUCCCACUGAAAUAGCCCAGAGCUUGCUGUCUCAAUCUGAUUUUGAAUGGGGCAGGGGUUCACGGUUCCGUACCGUCGCCAAGCCGUGGGUGGGAGCAGGGAGGAGAGUUUCUUUCCUAGGGACUUGAAAUCUCUUCUUGCUCUGUUUCUGAAAGAUUUCAUCUCUCCAGGAAGCAGCGCUCUCCCGGGAUGAGCUGUUUGUGCAAAGCUUGGCCCUGUGGGCUCUUGUUGAAGACUUCAGACAUAGCCAAACCAAAAGCCUGCUCUUUUUCUGGGCUUGGUCCAGUCAGGAUCCAUAUUUCAGGGGAGUCUUUCCAUCCAAGAAACUGAAUCUGAGCUGCUCAUAUCUCCAACUGGGAAGCGUUUCAGAUGAAAGAAUAGCUUUAGCCCAAAGAGGCAUGUGGAACGCCGUCGCCCCGACUUAGCUUUCCCUCCAGGCAGGAGACAAAGCCGUGGGCUGGGGGGCUGCUCGUGACCGGGGUGGGCGGGCGAUGAAGGGACUUGACAAAGGGCACACAAACAGGCUGCAGCAGCGACAGGGGAAAAAAAAUGACGUGCCGUUUUGUUAUCCCUCUCCGAUCCGCAGGGACUGGUCUGCACAGCUGGGUGUGGGUCAGAG